rnacentral:misc_RNA from 1 species
AAUGCACCCUGGUUGGGCUGCCACACCUGGUGUAGCUAAAAGCUUGCCUGGCUUCUCCGAGAAGUUAUCUGGUAGGCCUAGAACAAGCGAGGAGGGAGCAGACACAGUCAUCUGGUUAGCUUUGCAACCGAAGGAGAAGUUGGUAUCAGGUGCUUUCUAUUUUGACCGUGCAGAAGCACCCAAACACUUGAAGUUUGGAGGAACAGCAGGCUCUCAUUCCCUCAUUGAUCCCAUUGUUGACUCUCUUCGUUCCUUGUGUAACCUGCCCUCGUAAACGGUAACGAAUCCUUCCUCCCUGGUACUACAGUU